rnacentral:misc_RNA from 1 species
GAUGAAGAACGCAGCGAAAUGCGAUAAGUAGUGUGAAUUGCAGAAUUCAGUGAAUCAUCGAAUCUUUGAACGCACAUUGCGCCCCAUGGUAUUCCGUGGGGCAUGCCUGUUCGAGCGUCAUUAUAACCCCUCAAGCUCAGCUUGGUGUUGGGGCCUGCUGCACUGGCAGCCCUUAAAAUCAGUGGCGGCGCCAUCUGGCUCUAAGCGUAGUAAUUCUUCUCGCUAUGGAGUCCUGGUGGAUGCUUGCCAUCAACCCCCAAUUUUUCUAUGGUUGACCUCGGAUCAGGUAGGGAUACCCGCUGAACUUAAGCAUAUCAAUAAGCGGAGGA